rnacentral:rRNA from 1 species
GAUGAACGCUGGCGGCGUGCCUAAUACAUGCAAGUCGAGCGAACAGACGAGGAGCUUACUCCUCUGACGUUAGCGGCGGACGGGUGAGUAACACGUGGAUAACCUACCUGUAAGACUGGGAUAACUUCGGGAAACCGGAGCUAAUACCGGAUAACAUGUUGAACCGCAUGGUUCAACAGUGAAAGACGGUCUUGCUGUCACUUAUAGAUGGAUCCGCGUCGCAUUAGCUAGUUGGUAAGGUAACGGCUUACCAAGGCAACGAUGCGUAGCCGACCUGAGAGGGUGAUCGGCCACACUGGAACUGAGACACGGUCCAGACUCCUACGGGAGGCAGCAGUAGGGAAUCUUCCGCAAUGGGCGAAAGCCUGACGGAGCAACGCCGCGUGAGUGAAGAAGGUCUUCGGAUCGUAAAACUCUGUUAUUAGGGAAGAACAAAUGUGUAAGUAACUAUGCACGUCUUGACGGUACCUAAUCAGAAAGCCACGGCUAACUACGUG